rnacentral:misc_RNA from 1 species
GAAUUGAGGAAAGUUCAUUUGAAGAGUGGUCGGGAUUUUCCUGAGCCUCAACAUAAGGCAUGUUACUUUGUCAGGUGCAGCAAAUAAGAAAAGUUAAGGGAGGUAGCAAUUUUCAGAUGAAGUCACAUGUUCCAUGUUACUUCACCACUUUUCCCAUACUGGGCACAUUAAAUCUAACAUGGAGUAUACUGCCUGGCAUAAUUUCAAUGCUAACUAGGAUUAAUUUUUAACACCUCACCACUUUUGUACCUUUGUCUUUUUUCUCUUUUAGCCUAUUUUGGGGCAAAUUUUUGGGGACAUGUAUCUUCUCCUUUUAGAGGAGAA